rnacentral:rRNA from 1 species
CCUACGGGUGGCAGCAGUGAGGAAUAUUGGUCAAUGGGCGCGCGCCUGAACCAGCCAAGUCGCGUUAGGGAAGACGGUCCUAUGGAUUGUAAACCUCUUUUGUCGGGGAGCAAAAGACGCCACGCGUGGCGUUCCGAGAGUACCCGGAGAAACAGCAUCGUCUAAUUCCGUUCCAGCAGCCGCGGUAAUACGGAGGAUGCUAGCGUUAUCCGGAUUUAUUGGGUUUACCGGGUGCGCAGGCGGAAGCUCAAGUCAGCGGUAAAAUUGAGAGGCUCAACCUCUUCGAGACGUUGAAACUGGUUGUCUUGAGUGAGCGAGAAGUAUGCGGAAUGCGUGGUGGAGCGGUGAAAUGCAUAGAUAUCACGCAGAACUCCGAUUGCGAAGGCAGCAUACCGGCGCUCAACUGACGCUCAUGCACGAAAGUGUGGGUAUCGAACAGGAUUAGAUACCCCAGUAGUC